rnacentral:misc_RNA from 1 species
GAUGAAGAACGCAGCGAAAUGCGAUACGUAAUGUGAAUUGCAGAAUUCAGUGAAUCAUCGAGUCUUUGAACGCACAUUGCGCCCCCUGGUAUUCCGGGGGGCAUGCCUGUCCGAGCGUCAUUGCUGCCCUCAAGCACGGCUUGUGUGUUGGGCCUCCGUCCUCCUCCCGGGGGACGGGCCCGAAAGGCAGCGGCGGCACCGCGUCCGGUCCUCGAGCGUAUGGGGCUUCGUCACCCGCUCUUGUAGGCCCGGCCGGCGCUUGCCGACACAUCAAUCUUUUUUCCAGGUUGACCUCGGAUCAGGUAGGGAUACCCGCUGAACUUAAGCAUAUCAAUAGGCGGAGGA